AACCUCCUGAGGUGUUCGAUCAUCCUGUAUUUUUGAACCUACAUCACUUUAAACGGAACUCCAAUAUCUUUGAGCCUAUGUCAGGCCUCCUUAAUUGUCAGUGGAAGGCAGAAGCUCAUUUGAGGGCAUCCACCUAGCAAUUGCUAGGAGUCAAAAAACAGGAACCGGCACUUUGGGUACACA
rnacentral:other from 1 species